UAACAACCGGAAACGGUUGCUAAUACCGCAUAAUGCAGCGGCACCUAAUGGUGACAGUUGUUAAAGCGGGGGAUCGAAAGACCUCGCGUCUGAAGAGGAGCCUGCGGCGGAUUAGCUAGUUGGUGAGGUAAAGGCUCACCAAGGCGAUGAUCCGUAGCCGGCCUGAGAGGGCGGUCGGCCACACUGACACUGACAUACGGGUCAG
rnacentral:rRNA from 1 species